GAUGAACGCUGGCGGCGUGCCUAAUACAUGCAAGUCGAGCGAACGGACGAGGAGCUUGCUUUUCUGAUGUUAGCGGCGGACGGGUGAGUAACACGUGGAUAACCUACCUAUAAGACUGGGAUAACUUCGGGAAACCGGAGCUAAUACCGGAUAAUAUUUUGAACCGCAUGGUUCAAAAGUGAAAGACGGUCUUGCUGUCACUUAUCGAUGGAUCCGCGCUGCAUUAGCUAGUUGGUAAGGUAACGGCUUACCAAGGCAACGAUGCAUAGCCGACCUGAGAGGGUGAUCGGCCACACGGGAACUGAGACACGGUCCAGACUCCUACGGGAGGCAGCAGUAGGGAAUCUUCCGCAAUGGGCGAAAGCCUGACGGAGCAACGCCGCGUGAGUGAUGAAGGUCUUCGGAUCGUAAAACUCUGUUAUUAGGUAAGAACAUAUGUGUAAGUAACUGUGCACAUCUUGACGGUACCUAAUCAGAAAGCCACGGCUAACUACGUG
rnacentral:rRNA from 1 species